rnacentral:rRNA from 1 species
AGUGAACGCUGGCGGUAUGCCUAACACAUGCAAGUCGAACGGCAGCACAGUAAGAGCUUGCUCUUACGGGUGGCGAGUGGCGGACGGGUGAGGAAUACAUCGGAAUCUACUUUUUCGUGGGGGAUAACGUAGGGAAACUUACGCUAAUACCUCAUAACACCAACGGGUGAAAGCAGGGGAUCUUCGGACCUUGCGCGAUUCAAUUAGCCGAGGUCGGAUUAGCUAGUUGGCUGGGUAAGUGCCCACCAAGGCGACGAUCCGUAGCUGGUCUGAGAGGAUGAUCAGCCAAACUGGAACUGAGACACGGUCCAGACUCCUACGGGAGGCAGCAGUGGGGAAUAUUGGACAAUGGGCGCAAGCCUGAUCCAGCCAUACCGCGUGGGUGAAGAAGGCCUUCGGGUUGUAAAGCCCUUUUGUUGGGAAAGAAAAGCAGCAGGUUAAUACCCCGAUGUUCUGACGGUACCCAAAGAAUAAGCACCGGCUAACUUCGUG